CACUAAUACAUCAAGCAUAUAGUGAACAGAUCCACUGAAGCAAUGUCCACACCAACUUACAUAUAGAGCAUGUUGAGACAUAUACUGAGGCUGUGUUUUCAGAGCAAAUAAAGAACACAAACUGAGCCGAGACUUCCGAUCAUCUCAUACGUAGACAAUAUACUGGAUACAUAUACUGAGGCUGUGUCCCCAUAGUAACUCAUACAUAGAGCAUAUAGUGGGUACAUAUACUGAGGCUGUGUCCUCAUAGUAACUCAUACACAGAGCAUAAAGCGCAUACAUAAACUGAGGCUGUGUCUCCAUAGUAACUCAUACAUAUGGCCUAUAGUGGACACAUAUACUGAGGCCAUGUCCUCAUAGUAAUUCAUACACAGAGCAUAUAGUGCAUACAUAAACGGAGGCUGUGUCUCCAUAGUAACUCAUACAUAU